GACGAAUGCUGGCGGCGUGCUUAACACAUGCAAGUCGAACGGAGAGGCCCUGCUUGCAGGGUACUCGAGUGGCGAACGGGUGAGUAACACGUGGGUGAUCUGCCCUGCACUUCGGGAUAAGCCUGGGAAACUGAGUCUAAUACCGGAUAGGAGCCAUUUUUAGUGCGAUGGUUGGAAAGUUUUUUCGGUGUAGGAUGAGCUCGCGGCCUAUCAGCUUGUUGGUGGGGUAAUGGCCUACCAAGGCGGCGACGGGUAGCCGGCCUGAGAGGGUGGACGGCCACAUUGGGACUGAGAUACGGCCCAGACUCCUACGGGAGGCAGCAGUGGGGAAUAUUGCACAAUGGGCGCAAGCCUGAUGCAGCGACGCCGCGUGGGGGAUGACGGCCUUCGGGUGGUAAACUCCUUUCGCUAGGGACGAAGCUUUUGGGACGGUACCUAGAUAAGAAGCACCGGCUAACUACGU
rnacentral:rRNA from 1 species